rnacentral:lncRNA from 1 species
CAGGACUUGAAGUGUACCCACAUGCACAAAUGAUACUGAUUCAAUGCUGGGUGCCAGUGGCUCACACCUGUAAUCCCAGCACUUUGGGAUGCUGAAGCAGGUAGACCACUUGGGGUUAGGGGUUCGAGACCAGCCUGGCCAACAUGGCGAAACCCCAGUUCUAUGAAAAUUACAAAAAUUAGCCUGAGAUGGUAGCACAUGUCUAUAGUCCCAGCUACUCAAGAGGCUGAGGCAGGAGAAUGACUUGAACCCAGGAAGCGGAGGUUGCAGUGAGCUGCUGAGAUGGCGCCAUUGUACUGUAGCCUGGGUGACAGAGCAAGACUCCAUCUCAGAUAAAAAAAAAAAAAAAAAAGAAAUGGUAGAUACCAGAGAUGAUGGACACCCCAAAUACCAUGACAUGAUCAUUGCACAUACUAUGCAUGCAGCAGAAUAUCCCGUGCACCCAUGAAAAUGUAUAGCUUUUACCUAUCAAGUAAAAUAGCCUUUCCACUGGGCAUGGUGGCUCACGCCUAUAAUCCCAGCACUUUGGGAGACCAAGGUGGGAAGAUUGGCAGAGCACACGUCCCCAGGGGCCUGGAGUAUGCGGCUUUGGGCAGACCCACAGGGCCUGUCUGUUAGACACAGACCACAGCCGCUUCCAGCAUGGAGCAACACCAAGAGACAGAUGGGGCUGGGACCACCUGGGCAUAUGUCCGCAUGUAGGGUCAGAGGCUCCAGCUCCAUGCCAGCCCAAAGCCUGGACUAGGACAGACCCCAGGACAAAAGCCCCAGAGGAACCCAGAAGAAGCUGGAUGGUUAGGAACAAGCUGGCCACAACCCACAUCACAUUCAGCCCUAGAGCCACAUGCAGCAUCGGGUAUGGAGUGGGAGCUGAUCAAUACCUGCAGGACUGGAAAUUUCAAUUAAUGUAAACAGAAGAAUAAGCUCACUCUGUUUGACAGGUCAGGAAGCCAAGGAACUUGCCCAGUCAUCCAGCAAGGACGUGGGGACACUGGGGUCUGAGCCGGGACUUUCUCUCUGAGCCCAGCCCAUGGCCCCCACCCAUCAUGAGCCCCCAAGUGUUACGUUGGCUCUAGCAGGGCUCCUGGCUGGUCUGGCAGGCCACCAAGACCCUGAGGCUGUGAGAAGGUAUCUGGC